rnacentral:tRNA from 1 species
GGCUCCAUAGUGUAGUGGUUAGCUCUUCUGCUUUAUAUGCAGAAGGUCCUGGGUUCGCACCCCAGGUGGAGCCA